AGCUAACCUCCCGGCUCAACUACCUCGGGCCUCCGAGGAAGGAGCCGGAAGCUUGGAAACGUUAUUGGGCCGUGCGGGUGUCGAAGGCGCGGGCGCGGGCAGCCGAGCUGGCGAAACAGGCGAGGUAAUUUGAGUCGUCUACUCAUAGUGUGGACCAAGCUAUUGAAUUACUUCCUUUACUCGCAGGCAAACUGGGGGAGGAGGCGGCCGGGUGCGCUCACUGGCGUCAUCAUACGCACGUAUUUUGACGCUGGUGGGCGAGGACUCGGCCCUGGGCGCUCCUGGGUUUUCCGUCCCCGCUUUUGAGGACGAGGCCGAGGGGAGACCCACAGGCGCCCAGGCAGGUCACGGGCAGCAGGCAGCCGAGCCGGUGCCCUCCACCUCGCGGGAUGUCAGGCCACCUGCAAGGCCCCGGGUGCGG